rnacentral:rRNA from 1 species
AUUGAACGCUGGCGGCAUGCUUUACACAUGCAAGUCGAACGGCAGCGGGGGCUUCGGCCCGCCGGCGAGUGGCGAACGGGUGAGUAAUGCAUCGGAACGUGCCCAGUCGUGGGGGAUAACACAUCGAAAGAUGUGCUAAUACCGCAUACGUCCUGAGGGAGAAAGCGGGGGAUCUUCGGACCUCGCGCGAUUGGAGCGGCCGAUGUCGGAUUAGCUAGUUGGUGGGGUAAAGGCCCACCAAGGCGACGAUCCGUAGCGGGUCUGAGAGGAUGAUCCGCCACACUGGGACUGAGACACGGCCCAGACUCCUACGGGAGGCAGCAGUGGGGAAUUUUCGGCAAUGGGGGAAACCCUGACCGAGCAACGCCGCGUGAGUGACGAAGG